GGGAGUUUUGCUGGGUAUUUGUUGAGAAUGGGAGUUUACCUACUGGAAUUUUACUGAGAAUAUGGGAGUUCUGCGUUACAAGAUUUGACGGCUUGUUAGUUUGUAAAAUUUGAAACGUUUGCUGGAAUUAACUUCUUAAUUACUUUGGAUGUGUUAACUGUUGGAUAAAAGUGUUUUUGGAUGAUGUUAUUAAUACAAAGUGUUUUUGGACUUAA
rnacentral:lncRNA from 1 species